GACGAACGCUGGCGGCGUGCCUAACACAUGCAAGUCAAGGGGAAAGUUUGACUUCGGUCGGAUGAGUAUACUGGCGGACGGGUGAGUAACGCGUAGGCAACCUGCCCUUAUGAGUGGGAUAACCCAGCGAAAGUUGGACUAAUACCGCAUAAUACAGAUUAACCACCUGGUUGAUUUGUCAAAGGCUGCUCUUCGGAGCAUCUACAUAAGGAUGGGCCUGCGUUCCAUUAGCUAGUUGGUGAGGUAAUGGCUUACCAAGGCGACGAUGGAUAGCUGGUUUGAGAGAGUGAUCAGCCACACUGGGACUGAGAUACGGCCCAGACUCCUACGGGAGGCAGCAGUGGGGAAUAUUGCGCAAUGGAGGAAACUCUGACGCAGCAACGCCGCGUGGGGGAUGAAGUUCUAUGGAGCGUAAACCCCUGUAAG
rnacentral:rRNA from 1 species